UAGACGAAGGUGCUCAGCUAC
rnacentral:siRNA from 1 species